GGAGAUGGAGGUGAAUAGGGCUCAAGUUAGCGCUCAAAUCCAAAACCCUAAUGAGUGUCAAUUAUUCAGUACGCUAGCUGCAUUAUUGGGUAGAAUGACAAAGGAGCAGCGAAGGAGUUACUGAAAGAUAAUUUUUGACCCAGAAAGUUUAAAAGCUUUUUAUCUCGUUAUUGCAGUUGUAUAUGCCUUGGCUUACAACUUGGUGAGUCUAUUCAAAGUUCACUUGCUUUUAUUGUACAUAUUGCUCUCAGAUAGAAAAGAAAAGUCAGGACUUGCAAAUCUCACUUUGAACAUAAACUAAUGGAGACUAUUCAUCAAAGGAGUCAACUAACUGAAGAUAGUGAGAGAGAAAAUGAUAAAAGAGAUGCAAAUGAAUUACUGAGGGAGAGAAGCAUAAUAUAUAUUCUACAUAAAGUCCACUUCUACGUUUGGGCUUAAGCUGGAGUCUAUUGGUUCUGUGCGAUAAUUGACUGCAGUUGCACAUGCUUUGGCUUACAACUUGAUGAGUUAAUCAAAGUUCAAUUGCAUCUAUCAUACAUUUAUCUGUCAGAAGAAAUGUUUUUAUGAAGAAGAUCUAUCAAGGAAUCAACACAUUGAGAAUGGCAAGGUAUUGGAAUCCUUUCUUUAACCAUAAACUCUUCUUGGAAACUGGUUAACAAGUUUGAUAACAUUGUUCACCUUACCUA